rnacentral:rRNA from 1 species
UACGAAGGGGGCUAGCGUUGCUCGGAAUCACUUGGCGUAAAGGGUGCGUAGGCGGGUCUUUAAGUCAGGGGUGAAAUCCUGGAGCUCAACUCCAGAACUGCCUUUGAUACUGAGGAUCUUGAGUUCGGGAGAGGUGAGUGGAACUGCGAGUGUAGAGGUGAAAUUCGUAGAUAUUCGCAAGAACACCAGUGGCGAAGGCGGCUCACUGGCCCGAUACUGACGCUGAGGCACGAAAGCGUGGGGAGCAAACAGG